rnacentral:rRNA from 1 species
AGAUUGAACGCUGGCGGCAUGCCUUACACAUGCAAGUCGAACGGCAGCACGGGAGCAAUCCUGGUGGCGAGUGGCGAACGGGUGAGUAAUACAUCGGAACGUGCCCAAUCGUGGGGGAUAACGCAGCGAAAGCUGUGCUAAUACCGCAUAAGAUCUACGGAUGAAAGCAGGGGAUCGCAAGACCUUGCGCGAAUGGAGCGGCCGAUGGCAGAUUAGGUAGUUGGUGAGGUAAAGGCUCACCAAGCCUUCGAUCUGUAGCUGGUCUGAGAGGACGACCAGCCACACUGGGACUGAGACACGGCCCAGACUCUACGGGAGGCAGCAGUGGGGAAUUUUGGACAAUGGGCGAAAGCCUGAUCCAGCCAUGCCGCGUGCAGGAUGAAGGCCUUGGUUGUAAACUGCUUUGUACGGAACGAAAAGUCUACUUUACUAAAUUAAAGAGGAUACAUAGAACGGUACCGUAAGAAUAAGACGACCGGACUAACGUACGUACG